CAUCUCAUCUACUUUUUCUUACAAACUUUGUCUGCCCUUUUCUUGCAAGUUGUUCGUAAGAAUUAUUAGGGUUCUUAUUUACUUCAGUUUAUCAUCUCUUUGAUGAUUUUGGUUCUUAUCAGUCAAUCUGUGAUGACUGAUUCUCUUGUACUUUGAGAUUAUUGGUAAUAAAGCUGUUGGUUCUGGAGUUAAAGUUCAAUAUAUUUUGAGUUUUCUGAUAAACAUCAUAUUAAAAAAAAAAAAGAAACAUACCUGUUACAUGAUUGGAUUCACAGCAGGAAACAAACAGCACAAGCUCUCCAUCAAGGGUUCAACAUCGAUUUGAGGAUUUGGCUCCAUCUUCUCUCUUUCUCAUGUAUAUUGAACGGCUCCAUCUUUUCUCUCUUUCUCAGAACACCACCGAUUUGAAGAUUAAAUCUGUGAGAUAUGACGUCGAAUAAUUUCGUUCUUCCGAUUCAACAACCAUCAGUUUAUAGGGAAUCAAGUCUGCUAAGAUCGGUGGCUACGAAGAAGAGUUCCCGCUGUAGAUGGUGAUUGAGGUAGGUUCUGACAGACAAACUGAGAUCUAGGGUUUUACUUUAACUUUUGGAUUUUAUUUAACCACAAUUCGUGAACCAAAUGGGAUAAAUGCGGCUUAAGUAAUGGUAGAGGUUUCCCACCAGCGCACUCUUUUUAACUUUGAUGAUGGGGUAUCAACAUAUCGAUUGUGCCCAAGUGUAUGGCAACGAGAAGGAGACUGGGUUAGUUUUGAAGAGGCUCUUUCAAGAAAAAUGAUGUCAAAAAAAAAACGUGAAGAUUUGUUGAUUACCCCUCUAAGCUCUGGUUGCAGAGUAAACCAUCAGUUAACUACUCUGAGAAUCAUUGUCAAAACCGGGUAAAGAUGGUGAUGAAUUAAGUUUGUAAAUGACGCUUUGUUGAGUCACAAAAGCAACACAGAAAAGAGUCGGGGAUUGUGUGCUGCUUUCAGAAAGCAAGAAUACAGGAACAUCAUAAAGCCCCCACACAUAUGGAAGUGUUUCGGUCCAGGUGCACAUAUGCAUGGAACCGAUGAGGUUUGGUAUGACGAUGCGUCACAGGAAGCCAUUGAAAACCGGCCCAAUAGGCCUUCUGACCCGCCAAGAAUGUUUCAUUUGGGCGCUGUUGGGCGGGUCAACACUUUUCACCCACCCGGCGAUGACAAUAUUUACAGCUUAGAACUCCGGUAACUUUUAAGCAGGUAACACCUUUCCUAAGGAGGGCGUUUGAAUUUGUCAAACACUUUUGACAUCUGAUUAUUACAAUUUUAGACAAUAAAAUAACAUCUAAACACUAUUUUUUGAGUAAAAUUCCAAUUUUGUCCCUGAGGUUUGGCCAGUUUUGCGACUUUUUCCUCGAGCGGUUAUUACCGGUUACGGUUUCGGUUAAUAACCGGUUACGUCAAUCACUAUCGGCGUCGGUGCAACGUUUCUGACCCGCCAAGAAUGCUGCAUUUGGGCGGGUUAACACGCUUCACCCACCCGACGAUGAUAAUAUUUACAACUUGGAACUCCGAUAACUUUUAAGCUGGUAACAUCUUCCUAAGGAGUGCAGAUAUUGCUGGACCUGAAUCUGCACUAAAUAACCACAAAGUUAGUCUUUUCUUCACUGAGUCGCCAACAAGCCCGUUUCUAAGAUGCGUUGACAUCGAGUUAGUUUCGAAGCUAUACCAUGCUAAAGGAACGGUGGUUUGCAUUGAAGGAAUGUUUGCUACACCUCUGAACCAGAAGGCUCUUGCGCUUGUUGCUCACAUCAUUCUACACUCUGCAACCAAAUAUCUCGGUGGUCACAAUGAUGGAUCUUAGCCAAGCGAAGAGGGCCAAAUACGGGAUACUGGACAAUUUGGUUCGAUUCAGCUUUGGAGACGAAGACUAUGAGGAUCUGGAAGCUGAUGUUCUCAAGGCUUUGGAGGCGAUAUAAUAGACGUGAUUCACUUGCGUGUUUGUUUGUUCUUUUUAUUAUUUUUUUGUGUUGCUGAAUCAUGAUCAUGAUUGUUUGUAGUUGAGCACUUGCUGAGUGCUCCUACUACCAUUCUGUUUUUUGUUUUUGACGUUGUAAUAAGUUAUAUAGAGCAAUUUAAAAGCAAGAUUCUGCUCCAUC